rnacentral:rRNA from 1 species
CCUACGGGAGGCAGCAGUGAGGAAUAUUGGUCAAUGGGCGAGAGCCUGAACCAGCCAAGUCGCGUGAAGGAUGACGGCCCUACGGGUUGUAAACUUCUUUUGUCAGGGAGCAAUUGGGUCCACGCGUGGGCUUAGCGAGAGUACCUGAAGAAAAAGCAUCGGCUAACUCCGUGCCAGCAGCCGCGGUAAUACGGAGGGUGCGAGCGUUAAUCGGAAUUACUGGGCGUAAAGCGCUCGUAGGCGGUAUGGCAAGUCAAGGGUGAAAUCCCCGCGCUCAACGUGGGAACUGCCUUUGAAACGGGCAAACUGGAGUGUGUGAGGGGUAAGCGGAAUUCCUAGUGUAGCGGUGAAAUGCGUAGAUAUUAGGAGGAACACCGGUGGCGAAGGCGGCUUACUGGACCGUAACUGACGUUGAGGCUCGAAAGCGUGGGGAGCAAACAGGAUUAGAUACCCGUGUAGUC